UACCUCUUCGAAGACAUCCGAUAAAAUUGGAACGAUACAGAGAAGAUUAGCAUGGCCCCUGUGCAAGGAUGAUACGCAAAAAUCGAGAAAUGGUCCAAAAUAAC
rnacentral:snRNA from 1 species